AGCCCCCUGGGGUAGCGGCCAAUCCUUCGACCUUCUGGGGGUCGAGACACAGGUUCGAAUCCUGUGGGGGCUA
rnacentral:tRNA from 1 species